AGAGUGUUAUGAUGUUGGAGAUUAUCUCCGAGUCUAGCUCAGCGCUGCUUCCCAGAUUGUUCUGGGAAG
rfam:Enterococcus pallens ATCC BAA-351 genomic scaffold acvKb-supercont1.3, whole genome shotgun sequence.